UCUUCUCAUUCACAGGUCAGGUGCAAUGCGGACAAAUGCACUGCCGCCUCCCCUACGCUGCCCCUCCUGUGCACCUCAAAGCGGACAUGGAAGGACCCCUGUCCAGUAGGGGAGAGA
rnacentral:sRNA from 1 species